rnacentral:lncRNA from 10 species
AGUGAAUCUAGAAUCAGGGCAGAGUGGAGUUGGUGGGAGCAUUGCAACAGCUCACUCAGGUGGAGACCUCCAAACUGGCCAUGCAGGAGAUGAUUCCUCACACAGCACAGAUGAGGCUGUGGGGCAGCAGGGCCCUUCAGCAUCUUCCACCCAGGCCCUGUCAGCCUUUUGUUCUUCCCUCUGGCUCCAGGAGAUCAAAGUCCUCCAAAAAUGCAGCUGCUUCAGUGACAAGAGGGAAUUAUAAUCUUCAGACUCAGGAGGAAUAUGGGGUUGGUUUCAAGCCCAUGGAGCAGCACAAUCGAUUGAGAGCUACAACCUGUCCUGCCGCUGAGCCCCAUCCCAGUAGGCCAGCCACGCCCUCAAGGCCAAGAAGACCAGGCCAUGAAGAAUCUAAGGCCCACUGAGUGCCCAGGUAGCAAGGGCAGAGUGCCUCAGGGCUCGGUGAAGUUUGGGCUGAGCAUGGGCUCUGGAAGUCAGACAGCUACACUGGGCUAUCAGCUCCACUGUGACCAGCCCUGUGACUGGGGCAGGGGACUCACUGCUGUGGUACUUGAGCAUCACUGUCAUAAAUUGAAUGUGUCCGUCCAAUCCUUUUCUCUUUAUCUUUCUUCCUCUAUAAUCACAUGUACUACUGAUCUCUGUUAGUGUUUUUGUUCAAAUGAAUAAACAUAUGUUAU